rnacentral:piRNA from 1 species
ACCAGAAACAAGGAAAACCCUCAACUUCUC